AGUGAACGCUGGCGGUAGGCCUAACACAUGCAAGUCGAACGGCAGCACAGUAAGAGCUUGCUCUUACGGGUGGCGAGUGGCGGACGGGUGAGGAAUACAUCGGAAUCUACUUUUUCGUGGGGGAUAACGUAGGGAAACUUACGCUAAUACCGCAUACGACCUACGGGUGAAAGCAGGGGAUCUUCGGACCUUGCGCGAUUGAAUGAGCCGAUGUCGGAUUAGCUAGUUGGCGGGGUAAGGCCCACCAAGGCGACGAUCCGUAGCUGGUCUGAGAGGAUGAUCAGCCACACUGGAACUGAGACACGGUCCAGACUCCUACGGGAGGCAGCAGUGGGGAAUAUUGGACAAUGGGCGCAAGCCUGAUCCAGCCAUACCGCGUGGGUGAAGAAGGCCUUCGGGUUGUAAAGCCCUUUUGUUGGGAAAGAAAAGCAGCAGGUUAAUACCACGCUGUCCUGACGGUACCCAAAGAAUAAGCACCGGCUAACUUCGUG
rnacentral:rRNA from 1 species